AUUAAUAUGAUUAUUAUGAAGAAAAUAUCCUGGCAAAACUAUCAAAUAAAAAAUGUGUUAACUGAAGUGGGUGUGUGCUUUUUUUACAAUGUUAAAAUACUUUCUCCAGUCUCAGGUUUAUACACAGAGUCAAAUACAAGUAAGUCAUCUGUAGCUUUAAUUCCGCACAGCAACAGUGGCUCAACCAAUGGUUUGAGUUUGGGGGCGGGGCUACUUGAUUAUUCAACUAAUGACAGGCAGGUGAAUCCUGUUUAAAAGCAGUCAUUCUUUCUGAAACAAUAAUGCCUCAGAAUUUGUUUAACAAACAUAAAGUGAAGGAAAUUCAGGAGGUAUUCCAACAAAAGUAUCAUAGUGUGUUUAAUGUAUAUAUUUUAAAGAGCACCACAUUGAUUUUCAGGACAAUUUUGAGUCUCCCUGUUGAGUUUAUUAUGAAAGACCCUCCUAGUCUUUGUUGUUCCUGUUACAGCUAAAGGCUACUACAAAACUGCAUUGACUAGUGCCCAAGUACUCAACAGGGACACACCUUGGGUUACGAACAAGAUGCUGAACCAAGUUUUUUCUCGGCAUGUAAUCGAGCAUUCCAUUUGUACACGGAAUUCAGAAGUUCCCAGUCGGAGUUCUGAUUCUGAAACUUCAAGGCACAGCAACAAAACCAAUUUCAGAAUCCAAAAUGUCUGCUCAUUGCAUCAAAAGUCAAGGCAGGGCAAAGAAGAGUUUGAACUGAAUGUUCCCAACCAUGCAGAGCAACAGGUGAGAAGAGACUAGCUACAUGCUGAUGAGAGUUAUCACAACCAGUGAAGGGUAAUAAAGAACCAUGUCGGCAUGACAAACUGACCACAAAUCCCCCAAACCAUUCUCAUAUAACAGGCUUUAUCCAAACACACACAUAUUGCGUCAGGCACUUAAAAUACAGGUUUGCGUACAGCCACAGGAUAACUGGCAGUAUCUGCUCAUGUUAUAGACUUGAUGAAGACCAACAUAGAUCUUGCAAGCCUCCAGCCAACAGUUCAAUCUGAUAAAUGCAUGCUUGUGUUUCAGUAUUAAAGUCCAGUUUGCUUUGCAACAACUUUUGGCAGGGUGUAUGUGAGAGGAAGAUGUGCAGAACAGAAGUAGGUCACAUGUGUUCAACAUGAUUGAUGACAACUAAAAAUAUCAUCUUCCAGCCAAAGAAAAGAGAGAGGGAUUUUUAGCAGGAUUUCAGACGAGAUGAGUAGCUACACUGUUAACCUCUGAUACAAUCAAAGUAUGAUGAAAUGCUUACCAUUUAAACUUUAAAGCUGUGAUUGGCACAAAAAUCUCUCUCUCUCUCUAUUAAAUACAGACAUUGGAAAAUAAAUGUAAAGCAUAAAUAGUCUAUAUGUGUAGUCACGGAUGAAAUCAGUAUCAGUUAAAAAAAAACAUGCAUAGUUUGAAGAAAUAAAGUAAUAUAGGUGACUAGAUAAACCUCUCUGGGUCGCCAGACAUAACCUUACAGAAAUGUCUG